UACGGAGGGAGCAAGCGUUACUCGGAAUUAUUGGGCGUAAAGGGCGCGUAGGCGAUUUGAAAAGUCUUGUGUGAAAGCCCCGGGCUUAACCCGGGAAGUGCACAAGAAACUGUUGAAUUUGAGUUCCGGAGAGGAAGGCAGAAUUCCCGGUGGUAGCGGUGAAAUGCGUAGAGUAUCGGGAGGAAUACCAGUGGCGAAGGCGGCUCACUGGCCCGAGUACUGACGCUGAGGUGCGAAAGCG
rnacentral:rRNA from 1 species